rnacentral:lncRNA from 1 species
AGUGCGGCGGCGGCUCCAGCCUCGCCAGCCCAGCACCGCUGAGCAGUGCCCCCAGACCCCAACGCCGGCUGGGGCGGAGUCUCGCUGGUCACCAUCAUCCAUGGGGACCAAUCGCUAGGCAUCGCCGCGGGAGGUCCACCAAUCCGGGUCAGCAGAGGAUGAGGAGGUGGGGUUUCGUAGGCCAGGGGCGGAACGCCCAGCUGGAGGAGGAAACCAAGGGUCCCGAAGAUCUCCAAACCGUGGGGGUAGGGCAGCUCUGAGCGUUAGCAGGGUUGCUGGCAAGCGAGACAAGCUGGCGUCGGUGGACUAGAGACCCUUAAACCUUAGCUCCCUGAAUCCUGAGAAGUAGGCACUGUGGGCGUGGCUUACGGAGGGGCGGUCCGCGGGGGAAGCGGUGACACUUGCAGCCUCUUAGCUAGCCUUGGGAGCACCCUUGUUUUCAGGACUUGUAGGGGGGUUCCGAGCCUGAUAUCCUGACCUCAGGCUCUAGGGAGCGCUGGUGUCUCCCAGCCCUUGGCCUCUUCCUGUGUCUGCGGUUCCCAACGUUGCACGGUUCGAUCCCUCCUCCUUUUCCUCCCAACCUCAUCACUCACACACACACACACACACACACACACACACACACACACACACACUGGCCGAUUCCAGACGCUGUUUGGAAAAAGAGUCAAAUUGGAGACAGGGUCCCACCCUACCAGCACUGCUUCCCAGGCUGGGAAACCAUGUGGACGCUGAGAGGCGGGCAGUGGCAGAUUUUGCACCAAAAAUCCGCUUCCCGGGUUCUUGCUUUUGCUCUCCAGACACACAAGCAGCAUACCCCACAACCUCUGCCCACAGAGGCUGGGGUUCUCCUCUGAGUACCCCAAGAGAAUGACGAGAAAUGCAGCACCUGGAAUCUGAGGUUCCUGGGAGAGAGGCGGAGCAGUCCUCGAAGAGUUCAGCUGGAGCUGAAGAAGCCGCAAGGAAGCGUGGGACACGACCUCUAUUUAAUGAAGCCAGGUCCUAUCUCUUCGGAAGUAGACAAGGACUCAGGCAUGGCUUCUUACCUGAGUUACAGGGACCUCAGCCAGAAGCUUUCGACCCUGGGAACAAAACCAAAAGGCUGGCUCCCUCGGAGCCACACAGGAAUCUUUCAGAAGCCGACAGAUGAAUGAGAUUAACCAGGCAAGGCUACAUAGGAUGCCCAUAAGACACUUCUGGCUGUUGGGAGACUCUGUUGUGCACAGAGGGGACAAGUUGCCAGACUGAAACCCUAGGAAUGGGAGGAGGGGAGGGAGAAGAGUGAACCAAUCCUUCUCAUUCUUCCUGUGAGCAG